AAGGGCACCACAAGAACGCGUGGAGCAUGUGGCUUAAUUUGACUCAACGCGGGGAAUCUUACCGGGUCCGGACACACUGAGGAUUGACAGACGGUUAUUGACUUAUACUCGCUUAAUGGCUUUAAGCUGUUAAACGUUUAACACCUUUACACAAAGAUGCUAGUCCUUUCAUGAUCGUUUGAUAGGUGGUGCAUGGCCGUUCUUAGUUCGUGGAGUGAUCUGUCUGCCUAAUUGCGUUUCACUAAGGUCCCAUUCUUCAUACGUAUGAAUAGCGUCUUAACUAUCUCUUACCGCUACCUAUUUGUAGUAAGCGCUCAUACUAUUGGGACCGGAAUGCAACGAGCGCGACUGCACCACCUAAUUGCCCCUUAUCUACCAUUAAUUACUUUAUUAACCGCCCUGUACGGGCACCGGGGCCUUACCUUUACUGAAACUAGCUGGACCGCUGCUUUCCUUUAAGCCAGAGGAAGGUUGCGGCAAUAACAGGUCUGUGAUGCCCUCAGAUGUUCCGGGCCGCACACGUGCUACAAUGAUCAGCACAAAGAGUAUUACCUAUCUUCUUAUACCUAACCCAAUAUGUUAAACUUAUUGCGUAAGGGUAUUGUCUUAACGACUUAUCCGCUUUAGCGCUUUAAGAUUAUUGGACGGUUAUGCCUGCCUCGAGAGAGUGUACAGGGCAGCAAGAGUAAUGAUUCCCUCGUUUUUACUACUAAUACCGCGCUUGGUAACAUAUUACACUCGAUUAAGUAGGGUCUUUGCUUCUAAUAGCAAUUGCUAUCCUCACCCUUAGGCUCUAAGGAUAUUACUAUCUCUAAGGUCUACAGGGAGGUGUAUAUGGCGCAUUUACUUAUUCACGGUGGGGACAGACCAUUGUUAACUG
rnacentral:rRNA from 1 species